AAAUCUUAUGGCAAGUUUGGGGUAAAGCAACGUGUGUUUCAAAAAAGGAAUUUAUGUAUUAUUUUCCAUUAGGGUUGGCCGUGUAUUUGAUGGAUACUAUCUUCAUAGACAGAAGAAAACCUUCGGAUGCGGUUAAGAUUUUACAGAUGAAAGCGAAAAAGUUUUUUCAGAAUAAGACUAAGAUUGUAAUCUUUCCAGAAGGUAAAAGAAAUAACAAUUUCACAAAGCUCCUGCCAUUUAAGAAAGGCGCCUUUAACAUGGCUGUAGAAAGUCAAGUACCCAUAAUUCCAAUCGUGAUUUCGCGGUAUUAUUUUAUAAAUAACAAAAAGUAUAUUUUUAAUCGUGGUCAUGUCAUAGUGCAAUGUCUGGAGCCAGUGUCCACCGAGGGUUUGACGAAGGAUGAUGUACCGGACCUUAUAGAUCGGGUUCACAGUAAUAUGGAAAGAGUUUUCAAGGAAAUAUCGGAGGAGCUACUGAGGAGAAAGGGAGAGCUAAAAAAUUCUAAUCUAAAGGCGGGCGAACAUUUACGCUGCCUGAUAAGUGGUGCCUUUCGCUUUUAAAUACACACAC